rnacentral:rRNA from 1 species
GACGAACGCUGGCGGCGUGCUUAACACAUGCAAGUCGAACGGAAAGGCCCUGCUUUUGUGGGGUGCUCGAGUGGCGAACGGGUGAGUAACACGUGAGUAACCUGCCCUUGACUUUGGGAUAACUUCAGGAAACUGGGGCUAAUACCGGAUAGGAGCUCCUGCUGCAUGGUGGGGGUUGGAAAGUUUCGGCGGUUGGGGAUGGACUCGCGGCUUAUCAGCUUGUUGGUGGGGUAGUGGCUUACCAAGGCUUUGACGGGUAGCCGGCCUGAGAGGGUGACCGGCGACAUGGGGACUGCGAGAGGGCCCAGACUGCUACGGGGGGCAGCGGGGGGGAAUAUUGCACAAUGGGCGGAAGCCUGAUGCAGCAACGCCGCGUGCGGGAUGACGGCCUUCGGGUUGUAAACCGCUUUCGCCUGUGACGAAGCGUGAGUGACGGUAAUGGGUAAAGAAGCACCGGCUAACUACGUG